rnacentral:rRNA from 1 species
UCCAGACUCCUACGGGAGGCAGCAGUGGGGAAUAUUGCACAAUGGGGGAAACCCUGAUGCAGCAACGCCGCGUGAGUGAGGAAGUAUUUCGGUAUGUAAAGCUCUAUCAGCAGGGAAUAGAAAAGAAGGUACCUGAAAAAGAAGCCCCGGCUAACUACGUGCCAGCAGCCGCGGUAAUACGUAGGGGGCAAGCGUUAUCCGGAUUUACUGGGUGUAAAGGGAGCGUGGACGGCCAAGCAAGCCGGGGGUGAAAGCCCGGGGCCCAACCCCGGGACUGCCCUUGGAACUGCAUGGCUGGAGUGCGGGAGGGGCAGGCGGAAUUCCUGGUGUAGCGGUGAAAUGCGUAGAUAUUAGGAGGAACACCAGUGGCGAAGGCGGCCUACUGGACGGUGACUGACGCUGAGGCUCGAAAGCGUGGGGAGCAAACAGGAUUAGAUACCCUCGUAGA